CUCCCAUCUCCUCUCUCAAACCUGCAAAAAACACACUCUCUCUCUCUCUCUCUCUCUCUCUCUCUCUCACACACACACACACACAAAUCUUUAUCAAAAAAUUCUUAUCAACCAUUUCUUCGAUCCAAGCUUGCCAAAGUGUUAUAUCAACUCAUAUAAACUCUCUCUCUCUCUCUCUCUCUCUCUCUCUCAUCUUUAUCAAAAUUCUUAUCCACCAUUUCUUGGAUCCAACCUUGCAAAAAUGAUAGAUCAACUCAUCUAAACUCAAGAUCAAUCUCUUGUUUGAAGGAAAAAAGAAAGAAAGAAAAUGCAAAGUUUCUGGAGUUAAGGAAAAGAUAUGUAACUAAUAGUGCACGCCAUAACAAACGUUGAAAAGAUUAAGUAGAAAGCAGGAAAUUGAAGAGGUUGACACGUUCCAGAAGCAGCUUCUAGCAUUACAAACUCUGAAAGAGAGUUUUCAGUUGUUCGAUACUAGAAAAUUGAGGGGAAGAUUUGGAAUUUCACGAGAGUUUCCAAUUGGCUAGAUGAGCUUGGUGGAAACUUGUCGUUUGACGGUAGAAGUAGUUUUUAACUCGUGGCAAGAAUGAACGAAAUUUGUAGGAGCUUCUUGCAUUCCGUUCUUAACUUGUUUGGAAGUAAUUAUAUGUGGAGCCGUUUAGUUCUUGUUGCAAAUAUCGAUUCAUUGAGGGAAUGGGCUUUUGUGGUCCAAAUUGUGUUGACUUCCACUGUGAUGACGAUACUGAUGCUUACAAAGCCGCCGCAAACAUCGUGUUGUAUAUGUACUGCAAGGCUGUUCACAAUGAAUGGAAGAUUUCAGAAUUAUAUUUAUUAUAAGCUCUCCGUAUCACUUGAUGAGACCAAAUUUAGAUCCAAAAGAGUAAAGGAAAUGAGGGAAUAGUCAAGCUCCCUCAUGAAUGAGCUUCAUUAUGAUCAAACCAAUCCAUAAAGUUCAAGUCCAAAAUGAGAUGUAAAAGAAAUAUAGAAAAUGUGUGAAUCUAUGGUCACUAUCUCUUGUAAGAAUUUAAUGAUUCUACUAUUAUAAUGUUGAUAUUUUUCUUUUCUUAGUGUAGGGAAACAAUGUUCGGAUGCUGUCAUAAUUAAGCCUAAGUUCUUAGAUAGAAGUGAUUAAGCAUUUCAGAAAUUGAAGAGUAUAAUGAUGAUUGAAUAUUCUCUUUUUAUGCA